UGGGGAAUAUUGGACAAUGGGCGAAAGCCUGAUCCAGCCAUGCCGCGUGUGUGAAGAAGGUCUUCGGAUUGUAAAGCACUUUAAGUUGGGAGGAAGGGCAGUAAGCGAAUACCUUGCUGUUUUGACGUUACCGACAGAAUAAGCACCGGCUAACUCUGUGCCAGCAGCCGCGGUAAUACAGAGGGUGCAAGCGUUAAUCGGAAUUACUGGGCGGAAAGCGCGCGUAGGUGGUUCGUUAAGUUGAAUGUGAAAGCCCCGGGCUCAACCUGGGAACUGCAUCCAAAACUGGCGAGCUAGAGUAGGGCAGAGGGUGGUGGAAGUUCCUGUGUAGCGGUGAAAUGCGUAGAUAUAGGAAGGAAGACCAGUGGCGAAGGCGACCACCUGGGCUCAUACUGACACUGAGGUGCGAAAGCGUGGGGAGCAAACAGG
rnacentral:rRNA from 1 species